CACACACACACACACACACCCCAUAUGCUUUGUGACUGUUGCACAAUUUCUUUUCUGUUGCUCUUGCCAAAAAAAGAAUAAGAAUGCAUGUACAUGUAUAGGAGUCACCAAAAUAUAUGCGAGUCUCCACAUAAGGUCAUGCACAUUGACUACAAUGUGAGAAGUGACCUUGGAGUUAUUCAAGUUGGUGGGGAAGCUCCCUGACAAUGACAUUGUUAAAAUUUCCAACAACUUGCUACAGAUGCAGUCCCUGAGCAGCCAAAAUAGGUAAAAGGAAUACUAGGGAGGGUCCAUAAAGGAUAAAUACGCAUAGCAAUCUGAAAGCAAAGUUUUUUUAACCUUAUUGUUUCUCUGAUCGACUCCUUUUCCCCAUUGUUUCAAGCUGCCUUGUAUGCUUCGGAUGCCCUAUAUCACUCUCUCUCCUACUGAGCAGUACUUAAAAAUGA
rnacentral:lncRNA from 1 species